rnacentral:rRNA from 1 species
GUAGGUGGCAAGCGUUGUCCGGAAUUAUUGGGCGUAAAGCGCGCGCAGGCGGUCCUUUAAGUCUGAUGUGAAAGCCCACGGCUCAACCGUGGAGGGUCAUUGGAAACUGGGGGACUUGAGUACAGAAGAGGAAAGCGGAAUUCCAAGUGUAGCGGUGAAAUGCGUAGAGAUUUGGAGGAACACCAGUGGCGAAGGCGGCUUUCUGGUCUGUAACUGACGCUGAGGCGCGAAAGCGUGGGGAGCAAACAGGGAUUAGAUACCCUGGUAGUCCACGCCGUAAACGAUGAGUGCUAAGUGUUAGGGGGUUUCCCGCCCCUUAGUGCUGCGGCUAACGCAUUAAGCACUCCGCCUGGGGAGUACGGCCCGCAAGGCUG